GUACACACCGCCCGUCGCUCCUACCGAUUGAAUGAACCGGUGAAUUGUUCGGAUUGUGGCUCUAGCCAGCGGGGCAACUCGUUGGCUGGGUUGUGAGAAGUUCAAUAAACCUUUUCAUUUAGAGGAAGGAGAAGUCGUAACAAGGUAWCCGUAGGUGAACCUGCAGAAGGAUCA
rnacentral:rRNA from 1 species